UACGAAGGGGGCGAGCGUUGUUCGGAAUCACUGGGCGUAAAGGGCGCGUAGGCGGCCCUCCUUGUCGCGUGUGAAAGCCCCGGGCUCAACCUGGGAACGGCGCGCGAGACGGGGGGGCUGGAGUUCGGGGAGAGGAGGCGUGGAAUUCCCAGUGUAGAGGUGAAAUUCGUAGAUAUUGGGAAGAACACCGGUGGCGAAGGCGGCG
rnacentral:rRNA from 1 species